AAGCGAUCAGAGGUUUUUAUUAAGACUGAUGGUGUGCCUAUUGAAGAAUGUGCCGGCGACUUAAUGUUAGCAGCAAGGUUAAGUUUUUAUACGGAGCCAAAGCGAAAGCGAGUCUGAAUAGGGCGUGAGUUGCUAGCAUUAGACCCGAAACCGGGUGAUCUAUCCAUGGACAGGAUGAAGCGAAAGUAACAUUUCGUGGAGGUCCGAACUAGUGCAUGUUGAAAAAUGCUUGGAUGAUCUGUGGAUAGGGGUGAAAUGCCAAUCGAACCCGGAGAUAGCUGGUUCUCCUCGAAAUGACUUUAGGGUCAGCCUUGAGGUUAAGAAAUUAGGAGGUAGAGCACUGUUUAGGCUAGGGGUGUCACCAACAUUACCAAACCUAGGCAAACUCCGAAUGCCUAAUUUUCAUACUCAGGAGUGAGUCUUAGGGGGCUAAGCUCCUAGGACAAAAGGGAAACAGCCCAUGAUCGUUAGCUAAGGUCCCAAAAUCUAUGCUAAGUGGUAAAGGAGGUGGAAUUACUUAGACAACCAGGAUGUUGGCUUAGAAGCAGCCACCAUUUAAAGAAAGCGUAAUAGCUCACUGGUCGAGUGAUUCUGCGCCGAAAAUGUAACGGGGCUCAAGCAUAGUACCGAAGCUACGGGAUUAUUGAAUAAAUAAUCGGUAGAGGAGCGUUGCACAGUAGGAUGAAGUUAAAUCGCGAGAUUUGAUGGACGAAAUGUAAGUGAGAAUGUCGGCAUGAGUAACGAAAAAAUGUGUGAGAAUCAUAUUCGCCGUAAGACUAAGGUUUCCUGGGGAAGGUUCGUCCGCCCAGGGUGAGUCGGGCCUAAGAUGAGGCUGAAAAGCGUAGUCGAUGGACAACAGGUUAAUAUUCCUGUACUACCUUUAGUUCGUUAUUAGCAAUGGAGUGACGCAGAAGGAUAAAUUAGCCACUUAUUGGAUUGUGGUCCAAGCUUGUAGGGAGAAAAAAUAGGUAAAUCCGUUUUUUCGUUAAUCCUGAGAAGUGAGUGCGAAGUACCAGGCAACUGGGAUGAAGUAAUUGAGUCCACGCUGACAAGAAAACCUUCUAGCGAGAACUAAGGGUAACCGUACUAAAACCGACACAGGUAGUCGGGUAGAGAAUACCAAGGCGCGCGAGAUAACUCUCGUUAAGGAACUCGGCAAAUUAGCUCCGUAACUUAGGGAUAAGGAGUGCCUAUUAAGGUGUAAAUCCUCGCGAUUGAAGCUGAAAUAGGUUGCAAUGAAAUGACCCACGCGACUGUUUACCAAAAACACAGGUCUCUGCUAAACCGCAAGGUGAUGUAUAGGGGCUGACGCCUGCCCAGUGCUGGAAGGUCAAUAGGAGAUGUCAGUCGCAAGACAAAGCAUCGAAUCGAAGCCCCAGUGAACGGCGGCCGUAACUAUAACGGUCCUAAGGUAGCGAAAUUCCUUGUCGGGUAAGUUCCGACCCGCACGAAAGGCGUAACGAAGUGGGUACUGUCUCAACGAGAGACUCGGUGAAAUUGAAUUAUCCGUGAAGAUGCGGAUUACCCAUAGCAAGACAGAAAGACCCCGUGGAGCUUUACUGUAACUUGGCUUUGUUUUUUGGAAUAAUUUAUGCAUAUAUCGUGACUGGGAAACAGAUCGGAAGAGCACACGUCUGAACUCCAGUCACCUGAAGCUAUCUCGUAUGCCGUCUUCUGCUUGAAAAA
rnacentral:rRNA from 1 species